UACGAAGGGGGCUAGCGUUGUUCGGAAUCACUGGGCGUAAAGCGUACGUAGGCGGAUUGUUAAGUCAAGGGUGAAAUCCCGAGGCUCAACCUCGGAACUGCCUUUGAUACUGGCAAUCUCGAGUCCGGGAGAGGUGAGUGGAACUCCUAGUGUAGAGGUGAAAUUCGUAGAUAUUAGGAAGAACACCAGUGGCGAAGGCGGCUCACUGGCCCGGUACUGACGCUGAUGUACGAAAGCGUGGGGAGCAAACAGG
rnacentral:rRNA from 1 species